AUGCAUCUAUAUGACUCUUCAGCCGGUCCUUUUAGAGUCUUGGAACAUGACUCUUCAGCGUGGGAUUGGGUGGAUGGAUUGAGGCAGAAAUAUCUACCUCGUCAGACCCUCUCUCUCCCUCAUCUCUUCUUCAUCCCGCUCCUCUUCUCUAGGCCGCCGCCGCGGCUUUCCUCCUCCCUCUCGGCUGCCUCAUCUCCUCUGCCUCCACCUCCACUGCCUCCUUACCCAACUAGCACGGGCAAGACGACGUGCAGGCAAAGGGAGAUGGCGGCGGCGCUCAAUUCGGUCAGCAGUACAGAGAAGAUGAGAGGGAGAGAGAGAGGAAAGGGGAGAGGGGGGUGCGCCUGUCCCUCACCCCAUGUCCCCGGCGCACCGUCGCCCCUCCAAGCCUUGGUGGUCCAGGGAGGAGUAGAUGGCACCAACUUCGAUUCCGGCCUCCGCCCUGAGCUCCGCCGCCUCACGAACUCGAGGCGACGGGCGCCGCCCCCACGAGCUCACUCCGCCUCUCGAGGACCUCCUCUCCUUCGCGGCCCCGAGCGAUGUCUUGAACUCUUCUGUCCCUACACAUGGUCAGCAUCAGCAGAGGGCCAAACGAUGCAACUGCAGGCGCAAACAAUUUUGCUGGUGGUCAAAGCCCUAUUCUAUUGUUGUGAUACUGGUGAGCUUGCACGGUGCAGCAGCCUGGAGAGGCGGCUAACGGCGCACCUGCGAAGCAACAAUAAACACGUCUGA
rnacentral:rRNA from 1 species